AAUGAACGCUGGCGGCGCGCCUAAUACAUGCAAGUCGAGCGAGAAGACGUAGCAAUACGUUUGUAAAGCGGCGAACGGGUGAGGAAUACAUGGGUAACCUACCCUAGAGUGGGGAAUAACUAGCCGAAAGGUUAGCUGAUACCGCGUACGCUCCUUGGACUUCGGUUCAGGGAGGAAAGCGAUACCGAGGGUAUCGCGCUCUUGGAUGGGCUCAUGUCCUAUCAGCNGUUGGUGAGGUAACGGCUCACCAAGGCUUCGACGGGUAGCUGGUCUGAGAGGACGAUCAGCCACACUGGCACUGCGACACGGGCCAGACUCCUACGGGAGCAGCAGUAAGGAAUAUUGCGCAAUGGGACGAAAGCCUGACGCAGCGACGCCGCGGUGGGGGA
rnacentral:rRNA from 1 species